UACGUAGGCAGCGAGCGUUGUUCGGAGUUACUGGGCGUAAAGGGUGUGUAGGCGGUUGUUUUAAGUUUGGUGUGAAAUCUCCCGGCUCAACUGGGAGGGUGCGCCGAAUACUGAAUGACUAGAGUGCGGGAGAGGGAAGUGGAAUUCCCGGUGUAGUGGUGAAAUGCGUAGAUAUCAGGAGGAACACCGGUGGUGUAGACGGCUUUCUGGACCGUAACUGACGCUGAGACACGAAAGCGUGGGUAGCAAACAGG
rnacentral:rRNA from 1 species